GAUUUUCCCAACCCAGGUUCGAACCUGGGUCUCCUACAUUGCAGGCAGAUUCUUUACCAUCUGAGCCACCAGGAAAGCCCCAGGGCUCUAGCCAAGAACUUAGACAUAUAAAGGAAAAAGAUACUUUUCCUCCCCAACAUGAUCCAAACUAAAGGUCUAAGAGAAAAAGAUGAGAGAAAAAGAAACAGAGCCUCAAUGGCAAUAUCAAAUUGUCUGUCAUAUGUGGAAUUGAGUCCAAGAAGGAGAGGAAAGAAGGAAUAGGCACAAAUAAAUCUCUUAGAAAAAUAAUGGCAGAAAAAUAUCUAAAUUGAUGAAAAACAACCUACAGAGCCAAGAAGAAAGUCACACACACCUCAGCAUAGCAUAACUGAGUUGUUGAAAAACAAAAUAAACUUUUAAACAAAGCCAGGCAAAAGAAUGAAGGCUAAGCCUCGCAGGAAAAUGACAAGAUAAUGGAUGAUAGUGUUAAAGGAAAAGUAUCAAUCUAGAAUUCUGUAUCUACAAAGUGUUUUUCAAAAAUAAAGGGAAAUAAGUCAUUUUCAAACAACUGAAGCCGAGAGAGCUCAUCAGCAGAUUCUUUACCAUCUGAGCCACCAGGGAAGCCCUCCCUUAAGCCAAAGCCCAAUCCUAAUCAAAGCCCCAGCUCUCUUCACUUCUGAGAAGCCUGAAGAAGGUGAGAAAGCUGCAGAAGAACAGUGUGAAGCUGGCAGAGGGUCUUAGCUCCCUGAUGAGGGAUUGAACCUGAACCCUUGGCAGUGAAAACGCCCAGUCCUAACCACUGGACUGUCAGGGAACACCUUUAUAAUGGAAGAAGAUUCCAUAUAGGACUUUCAGAGCUGGAGACGAGAAGUCAAUGCCUCAGAGGACAGGCAGACUUUCUUGUUAGGGGCUAAAGCAGCUGGUGACUUCAAGAUGAAACUGAAGUUCUUUUACCAUUUCCAAAACCCUGAGGCCCUUCAGAAUUAUGCUAAAUCUACUCUGUCCAUGCUUUAUAAAUGGAAUGACAAAGUCUGGAUGAUGCACAGUACCUUACAACAUGGUUUGCUGAGUAUUUUAAUCCCACUGCUGAAAACUACUGCCCAGAAAAAAAAAGAUUCCUUUCAAA
ensembl:lncRNA